CAGCAUUUUACCCUGUGAAUAAGGAUAUUAUUCUCAAAGUAGUGUCCUUAAAAUUGGGAGAAUCCAUUUGGAAAUAUACAUGAUGCAGCAAGACUGUAUGGAUUCCUGGACCGAUGCUAUUGUUAAACAUUGGUAUGGUAACCCAAUGCUUGCCUGGGUUUGGGAUGGAAAGGAUUGUGAUGGACCUGGAAUACAAUCUAUUUUCUCACAAUAUGGGAAAGUCCAGUUCCUCCACAAAAAUAGUGAGUUAGGAACAUUUUUUUCUAUCG